ensembl:lncRNA novel protein
CCAUUCUGGGCUCUUGCCUGUGAAAUCUUUCUUUGCUUUCCCCAUCUUUUCCUCGCAUUUUUUCACCAUCUUUCCCUCAAUCUCCAGGAGCCAAUGCGAGACUUUGGCUCCGAUUAAGCGACGGCCCGAGACUCGGGGUGCGCGAGGAGGAUCGACAGAGUGGUGAUGGAGAGCACCCCUUCAAGGGGACUGAACCGAGUACACCUACAAUGCAGGAAUCUGCAGGAAUUCUUAGGGGGCCUGAGCCCUGGGGUAUUGGACCGAUUGUAUGGGCACCCUGCCACAUGUCUGGCUGUCUUCAGGGAGCUCCCAUCCUUGGCUAAGAACUGGGUGAUGCGGAUGCUCUUUCUGGAGCAGCCUUUGCCACAGGCUGCUGUAGCUCUGUGGGUAAAGAAGGAAUUCAGCAAGGCUCAGGAGGAAAGUACAGGGCUGCUGAGCGGCCUCCGGAUCUGGCACACACAGCUGCUCCCAGGCGGGCUCCAGGGCCUCAUCCUCAACCCCAUUUUCCGCCAGAACCUCCGCAUUGCCCUUCUGGGUGGGGGGAAGGCCUGGUCUGAUGACACAAGUCAGCUGGGACCAGACAAGCAUGCCCGGGACGUUCCCUCCCUUGACAAGUACGCCGAGGAGCGAUGGGAGGUGGUCUUGCACUUCAUGGUGGGCUCCCCCAGUGCAGCUGUCAGCCAGGACUUGGCUCAGCUCCUCAGCCAGGCUGGGCUCAUGAAGAGUACUGAACCUGGAGAGCCGCCCUGCAUUACUUCCGCUGGCUUCCAGUUCCUGUUGCUGGACACCCCGGCUCAGCUCUGGUACUUUAUGUUGCAGUAUUUGCAGACAGCCCAGAGCCGGGGCAUGGACCUGGUAGAGAUUCUCUCCUUCCUCUUCCAGCUCAGCUUCUCUACUCUGGGCAAGGAUUACUCUGUGGAAGGUAUGAGUGAUUCUCUGUUGAACUUCCUGCAACAUCUGCGUGAGUUUGGGCUUGUUUUCCAGAGGAAGAGGAAAUCUCGGCGUUACUACCCCACACGCCUGGCCAUCAAUCUCUCAUCAGGUGUCUCUGGAGCUGGGGGCACUGUGCAUCAGCCAGGUUUCAUUGUCGUGGAAACCAAUUACCGACUGUAUGCCUACACGGGUGAGGCGGGACAGAGGGCCCCUGGAAGAGGAGGUUGGGGGUGAGGGAAUGCCAGUUUAUGUUCGUGUUUACCUGGCAGUCUACAGAGCUCUCUGACAUUUCUCAUGACACUUGAAAGAAGGGCUUGAGGGAGUCUGGGUGUGGGGGUGGCCUCCUCAUCCUCUUUCUAUCCCUGGCUCAGAGUCGGAGCUGCAGAUUGCCCUCAUUGCCCUCUUCUCUGAGAUGCUCUAUCGGUUCCCCAACAUGGUGGUGGCGCAGGUGACCCGGGAGAGUGUGCAGCAGGCAAUCGCCAGUGGCAUCACAGCCCAGCAGAUAAUCCAUUUCCUAAGGACAAGAGCCCACCCAGUGAUGCUCAAACAGACACCUGUGCUGCCCCCCACCAUCACCGACCAGAUCCGGCUCUGGGAGCUGGAAAGGGACAGACUCCGGUUCACUGAGGGUGUCCUGUAUAACCAGUUCCUGUCGCAAGUGGACUUUGAGCUGCUGCUGGCCCACGCGCGGGAGCUGGGCGUGCUCGUGUUCGAGAACUCGGCCAAGCGGCUCAUGGUGGUGACCCCGGCCGGGCACAGCGACGUCAAGCGCUUUUGGAAGCGGCAGAAACAUAGCUCCUGAGAGCGCGGGACUUGGACACGGACCUCGGCGGGCGGGACUGGGCGGGGCGGGGCAUCAGAACUCAGGUGUUUUUUAUUUACGCGUCAGGGCUUUUCUUGUUUAAUAAAGUUAUGAUAGCUAGCAGUGCGGUCCCGGGCGCCUCCCCGUGGGGUUUGCCUUCGCGGCGGACUCGCUCCUCUGGUCUACAGCCUUUGGACCGGUAGGGAGAGGGUGGGGCCAAAGCCAGCUGCUGCGCAUGCGCCGGCCGGGGCCCCGCCCCCAUGCGCCGCGCGGCUCCAGGGCCACGUUCCAGGGUCGGGUUUGGUGGAUUCCUCAGUCCCUGCCGCCGCGGGGCGCCCUGGGAUAGCGGCGGGGCCUCCUGGUGAGCGCGCGCCGGGGCGGCCUCCGGGAAGUGGGAGACGCUGCGGGUCCUGGGCCCAGGCCUUGGGAUGGGCGGGAAGGCUUGGCCGCGCCGGGCUGUGGGCACUGCAGGAGGCCCCUGUGCAGGUGGAGAUCGCCGCGGCCCUGGCGGGACUCCUUGCUGGCUCUUGGGCGCGCUGAUGCCCAUCAUCUCCCUGAGUUUCUGAGCCCUAUCUCUCAUGUGUCAGUGGUCACCGCCGAAUCCAGACACUCCGGCCCUGUUCCGGAAGAGCCCUGAUAUCCGUGGCUCCAUGGCGCUGUCUGUCGAUACCAUGCACUCUAGCUCUCAAGGAGGAAAGGUUUUGUGGAAGGGAAUAGAGACUUGGAAUAACAGACCUGUGCUAAUUAGAGACAGGAAAGAUGGAACAAGGGGAGUGACCCUUCUCCACCCCCAUAUCCUAAUGUGCUCUCUCUCUAUCCAGAACAGAUCUCGGCCCCUUUCCAAACACUCCUGAUGCCUCAUUUGCCUCUCGCCUCUUUUCGACCACCAUUUUGGGGGCUGAGGCACUCACGGGGCCUCCCCAGGUUUCACUCCGUUUCUACACAGUCGGAGCCCCAUGGAUCUCCCAUCUCCCGGAGGAACCGUGAAGCCAAACAGAAGCGCCUGCGAGAGAAGCAGGCGACUCUGGAGGCUGAGAUAGCAGGGGAGAGCAAGUCACCUGCAGAAUCCAUUAAGGCCUGGAGGCCUAAGGAGUUAGUAUUGUAUGAAAUCCCUACGAAACCCGGUGAAAAGAAAGAUGUCUCUGGGCCCCUGCCUCCUGCAUACAGCCCCCGAUAUGUUGAGGCUGCCUGGUACCCGUGGUGGGUACGAGAGGGCUUCUUCAAACCAGAAUAUCAGGCCCGGCUGCCCCAAGCUACAGGGGAGACCUUUUCCAUGUGUAUCCCACCUCCCAAUGUCACUGGCUCCCUGCACAUUGGCCACGCACUCACGGUGGCCAUACAGGAUGCCCUCGUGCGCUGGCACCGGAUGCGUGGGGAUCAAGUGCUGUGGGUCCCUGGUUCAGAUCAUGCAGGAAUUGCUACACAAGCUGUGGUGGAGAAACAACUGUGGAAGGAACGGGGAGUGAGGAGACAUGAGCUGAGCCGGGAGGCCUUCCUUAGGGAGGUGUGGCAGUGGAAGGAGGCGAAAGGUGGAGAGAUCUGUGAGCAGCUGCGAGCUCUGGGUGCCUCCCUGGACUGGGAUCGAGAGUGUUUUACCAUGGAUGUUGUGAGUGUUCUGUGCCUUGGUCCCUGGCUCCUCAGUGGCUGUGACUGAAGCUUUUGUGCGGCUCUACAAGGCGGGGUUGCUGUACCGGAACCAUCAGCUUGUCAACUGGUCAUGUGCUUUAAGAUCAGCCAUCUCGGACAUUGAGGUGGAGAACCGGCCCCUGCCUGGCCACACACAGCUUCGACUGCCUGGCUGCCCCACCCCCGUGUCUUUUGGCCUCCUAUUUUCUGUUGCCUUCCCCGUGGAUGGAGAGCCUGAUGCAGAGGUUGUGGUAGGAACCACAAGGCCAGAGACGCUGCCUGGAGAUGUGGCUGUGGCCGUUCAUCCAGACGACUCGCGAUACACACAUCUACACGGGCGACAGCUUCGUCACCCCUUGAUGGGGCAGCCUCUUCCCCUCAUCACAGACUAUGCUGUUCAGCCACAUGUGGGCACGGGGGCAGUGAAGGUGACUCCAGCUCACAGUCCUGCCGAUGCUGAGAUGGGGGCCCGACAUGGCUUGAGCCCCUUGAAUGUCAUUGCGGAGGAUGGGACCAUGACCUCCCUCUGCGGGGACUGGCUGCAGGGUCUUCACCGGUUUGUGGCCCGGGAAAAGAUAAUGUCUGUGCUGAGUGAAUGGGGCCUGUUCCGGGGCCUCCAGAACCACCCCAUGGUACUGCCCAUCUGCAGCCGUUCUGGGGAUGUGAUAGAAUACCUGCUGAAGAACCAGUGGUUUGUCCGCUGCCAGGAAAUGGGGGCCCGAGCUGCCAAGGCUGUGGAGUCGGGGGCCCUGGAGCUCAGUCCCUCCUUCCACCAGAAGAACUGGCAGCACUGGUUUUCCCAUAUUGGGGACUGGUGUGUCUCCCGGCAGCUGUGGUGGGGCCAUCAGAUUCCAGCCUACCUGGUUGUAGAGGACCAUGCGCAGGGAGAAGAGGACUGUUGGGUGGUUGGGCGGUCAGAGGCUGAGGCCAGAGAGGUAGCAGCGGAACUGACAGGGAGGCCAGGGGCAGAGCUGACCCUGGAGAGGGAUCCUGAUGUCCUAGACACAUGGUUUUCUUCUGCCCUGUUCCCCUUUUCUGCCCUGGGCUGGCCCCAAGAGACCCCAGACCUUGCUCGUUUCUACCCCCUGUCACUUUUGGAAACGGGCAGCGACCUUCUGCUGUUCUGGGUGGGCCGCAUGGUCAUGUUGGGGACCCAGCUCACAGGGCAGCUGCCCUUCAGCAAGGUGCUUCUUCAUCCCAUGGUUCGGGACAGGCAGGGCCGGAAGAUGAGCAAGUCCCUGGGGAAUGUGCUGGACCCAAGAGACAUCAUCAGUGGGGUGGAGAUGCAGGUGCUGCAGGAAAAGCUGAGAAGCGGAAAUUUGGACCCUGCAGAGCUGGCCAUUGUGGCUGCAGCACAGAAAAAGGACUUUCCUCACGGGAUCCCUGAGUGUGGGACAGAUGCCCUGAGAUUCACACUCUGCUCCCAUGGAGUUCAGGCGGGCGACUUGCACCUGUCAGUCUCUGAGGUCCAGAGCUGCCGACAUUUCUGCAACAAGAUCUGGAAUGCUCUUCGCUUUAUCCUCAAUGCUUUAGGGGAGAAAUUUGUGCCACAGCCUGCUGAGGAGCUGUCUCCCUCCUCCCCGAUGGAUGCCUGGAUCCUGAGCCGCCUUGCCCUGGCUGCCCAGGAGUGUGAGCGGGGCUUCCUCACCCGAGAGCUCUCGCUCGUCACUCAUGCCCUGCACCACUUCUGGCUUCACAACCUCUGUGACGUCUACCUGGAGGCUGUGAAGCCCGUGCUGUGGCACUCGCCCCGCCCCCUGGGGCCCCCUCAGGUCCUGUUCUCCUGCGCUGACCUCGGCCUCCGCCUCCUGGCCCCACUGAUGCCCUUCCUGGCUGAAGAGCUCUGGCAGAGGCUGCCCCCCAGGCCUGGUUGCCCCCCUGCCCCCAGCAUCUCGGUUGCCCCCUACCCCAGCGCCUGCAGCUUGGAGCACUGGCGCCAGCCAGAGCUGGAGCGGCGCUUCUCCCGGGUCCAAGAGGUCGUGCAGGUGCUAAGGGCUCUCCGAGCCACGUACCAGCUCACCAAAGCCCGGCCCCGAGUGCUGCUGCAGAGCUCAGAGCCUGGGGACCAGGGCCUCUUCGAGGCCUUCUUGGAGCCCCUGGGCACCCUGGGCUACUGUGGGGCUGUGGGCCUGUUACCCCCAGGCGCAGCAGCUCCCUCCGGCUGGGCCCAGGCUCCACUCAGUGACACGGCUCAAGUCUACAUGGAGCUGCAGGGCCUGGUGGACCCGCAGAUCCAGCUACCUCUGUUAGCCGCCCGAAGGUACAAGUUGCAGAAGCAGCUUGACAGCCUCACAGCCAGGACCCCAUCAGAAGGGGAGGCAGGGACUCAGAGGCAACAAAAGCUUUCUUCCCUCCAGCUGGAAUUGUCAAAACUGGACAAGGCAGCCUCUCACCUCCGGCAGCUGAUGGAUGAGCCUCCAGCCCCAGGGAGCCCGGAGCUCUAACUCAUCAUCCCCAUCAGUUUUCCUCCCUCUCAGACCUGUCUUUGAGGACAAACAGAUUUGUCAGCUGUCAGGGUGCAGUGGGACGUCAGAGACUAUGUGGUCCAUCGCCUUCAUUGUGUAAAUGAGGACACAGACUGGCUUGGUCGCAGUGACUGUGGUGUCCUUGAGAUGCUCACAUUACUGCCCGGCCUGCCUCCCACCUGGAAGUCUGGGAAUGAGGAGAUUGAGAUAAACUUUUGAAAUCCCAAA